rnacentral:rRNA from 1 species
GUUAUAGGGUCAAGCGAACAAGUGCAUGUGGUGGAUGCCUUGGCGAUCACAGGCGAUGAAGGACGCGGUAGCCUGCGAAAAGCUACGGGGAGCUGGCAAACGAGCUUUGAUCCGUAGAUGUCCGAAUGGGGAAACCCGGCCCUUUUGGGUCAUCCUGGACUGAAUACAUAGGUCCAGUGAAGCGAACGCGGUGAACUGAAACAUCUAAGUAACCGCAGGAAAAGAAAUCAACCGAGAUUCCCAAAGU